AUACGGAGGAUCCGAGCGUUAUCCGGAUUUAUUGGGUUUAAAGGGUGCGCAGGCGGCCAUUUAAGUCAGCGGUUAAAUCGUGGGGCUCAACCCCAUUCUGCCGUUGAUACUGGGUGGCUUGAUUGCGGUCGAGGUUGGCGGAAUUCGUUGUGUAGCGGUGAAAUGCAUAGAUAUGACGAAGAACACCGAUUGCGUAGGCAGCUGACCAGACCGCAAAUGACGCUCAUGCACGAAAGUGCGGGGAUCGAACAGGAUUAGAUACCCUGGUAGUCCGCACAGUAAACGAUGAAUACUUGUUUUCGGCGAUAUAAUGUAGGAGGCAAAGCGAAAGCGAUAAGUAUUCCACCUGGGGAGUACGCCGGCAACGGUGAAACUCAAAUGAAUUGACGGGG
rnacentral:rRNA from 1 species